rnacentral:rRNA from 1 species
GAUGAACGCUAGCGGCAGGCUUAAUACAUGCAAGUCGAGGGGCAACAGGGGUAGCAAUACCUGCUGGCGACCGGCAAACGGGUGCGGAACACGUACAGAACCUUCCUUUAAGUGGGGGAUAGCCCAGAGAAAUUUGGAUUAAUACCCCGUAAGAUUAUGGAGUGGCAUCACUUUAUAAUUAUAGAUUUAUCGCUUAAAGAUGGCUGUGCGGCUGAUUAGGUAGUUGGCGGGGUAACGGCCCACCAAGCCUUCGAUCAGUAACUGGUGUGAGAGCACGACCAGUCACACGGGCACUGAGACACGGGCCCGACUCCUACGGGAGGCAGCAGUAAGGAAUAUUGGUCAAUGGACGCAAGUCUGAACCAGCCAUGCCGCGUGAAGGAUGAAGGUCCUCUGGAUUGUAAACUUUCUUUUAUCUGGGACGAACCCUCGAAUUCUUUCGGGAUUGACGUACCAGAGGAAUAAGCACCGGCUAACUCCGUGCCAGCCGCCGCCGUAAC